AUGAUUCUAUGGAGAAACAGUUGGUGGUGCUGGUCCACCGCCCUACUAUUCUCACCACCUUCAAUCUGGUUAGCACCAAUCUUCUCUGCUUGCCUCCGUUGCAGUCUUGCAGAGCACCAAAAGGAAAAGGUAUGUUGCCCAUGGUUGGGACUUGGGAGGCUGAAGGUUGAUGCUGCCAAUAAAUAUGGAGGCAGCUACGAUUGCUGGUGGUUUCAUGGCGAGUUUUGCUUGUUUUGGAGUUUGGGACUUGGGAGGCUGAAGCUUCAAGCCAAGGCCGGCGUCAUGGACCCUGGCUCCGACAUCAUCGAGUACGAGAGGCCCGGCGUCGUGCGCGUGUACAAGAGCGGCCGCGUCGAGCGCUUCGACGGCACCGACACCAACACCGUCCCGCCCUGCCCCUCCGGGGACCCCGCCUAUGGCGUCGCCUCCAAGGACGUCGUCCUCGACGCCUCCGCCAACAUCUCCGCUCGCCUGUACAUUCCGGCCGCGGAGCCUGGCAAGAAGCUCCCCGUCGUCGUUUACUUCCACGGCGGCGGUUUCCUUGUCCAAACCCCGGCCUCCCCGUUCUACCACGCCUACACCGCGUCGCUCGCCGCCGCGGCGCCCGCCGUCGUCGUCUCCGUCAACUACCGCCUCGCUCCCGAGGACCGCCUCCCCGCCGCCUACGACGACGCCUUCGCCGCGCUUAAGGCGGUCGUCGCCUCGUGCCGCCCGGACGGCGUCGAGCCGUGGCUCGCGGCGCAUGGCGACGCCUCCCGCGUCGUCCUCGCCGGCGACAGCGCCGGCGGCAACAUCGCGCACAACACGGCCAUAAGGCUGCGGAAGGAACGCAUCGAGGGCUACGGCGACGGUGUCAGCGGCGUCGCGCUCCUGCACUCCUACUUCUGGGGGACAGAGCAGGUGGGCGGGGAGCCCACGGAUGCCGCCUACCGCGGCGAGUUUGAGCGAUUGUGGGACGUCGCCUGCGGCAGCCAGUUCGGCCCCGACCACCCUUACAUCAACCCGGCUACGUCGCCGGGGGAGUGGAGCCAGCUCGGGUGCGGCCGCGUGCUCGUCACCACGGCGGAGCUCUGCUGGUUCGUGGACAGGGCGCGCGCGUACGCGGAGGGGAUCAAGGCGUGCGGAUGGGACGGAGAGGUCGAGUUCCACGAGACCAAGGGCGAGGAGCAUGUCUACUUCUUGUUUAAGUCCGGCUGCGACAAUGCCGUCAAGGAGCUCGCCGUCGUGGCCGACUUCGUCGGGCGCUGUUGA
rnacentral:rRNA from 1 species